AGCUGCGUGGUGAGCACAAAGCGAACUAUUCUUUCGCCUUUUACUAAAGAAUACCGUGUGCGCGCCACAAAUAGCAGCAUACGCUAAUUUUUUGAGGGUGCCCUCCUUCAUCAGGAAGGGC
rfam:Triticum aestivum genome assembly, contig: Triticum_aestivum_CS42_TGACv1_scaffold_030884_1BL